ACGCGGAUCUCUUUGAAAACGGAACAAAAAGGUUGCGUUUUCAUACGAAAACGGAUAGGUGGGGACAGGGUCUUAUUCACAAAACCCAACAUAUGCCCGUGCGGACUUUCGUGGUUUGAAUUUGGUUGUUCGAUUCCCGCCAAAAACAUCAUGCACAGGGCUCCCAACACGGAUAUUGGAAAAGGUGGAAUACUAAAACACGGGCGGUAUUUUAUAGAAAGCGCCUUUUCACAUUUUUUAAGGUAAAUUAAUAAUGAGAUAAAUAUAAGCAACAGGAAGCCCAAUACAUUGAAGGAUUGAAACGGGUAACCACUAGUAGAAAAUAUACAUGCGACUGUUUUUUGGUCAUUGCGCGGGAGCCCUGUGGUUCUGCCUCGUUCUGCCACGCUUCGUUGACACGGUCGCAUUCACUCGAGAAAAAUGCAAACUUCCAAACAUCUAAGGAGUGGAAAAUAUAUUUCAGAAAUCUUAUUUACAGUCAUGAAUUGCUUAAAUCAAUGAAUCUACAAUUUUCUCUGAUUCCGCUGUCGAAUUUCGCCCACAACAAACUGGUUAUCACACGGCGGAAGAUCGAUUUACACUACCGAAUCACAACUUAGCGAUGAAAGAAAGUCUUCAAAAGAAAGUCUUUACAAAAAGCCUCAAAUAUAAGAAGGGAUCCAUGUCUUAAUGACGAAGAAAUCGAAGACAAUAAAGCAGCAAAAGUAAGAUUAUUAAUGUUGGUCUCUCGCCGACUUGAAACGAAUGAAACGAAUCACUUACCGCCAAAGAGGAACUUAGUCAUUUGACGCACUGUGAUUGAGGUUGCUGACGUUGAUGUUGGAUGAUUCUUGGAACAACACAUAAGUAACAUGGUGCACAUAAGUAACAUUGUUGCAAUUGACAUAAUCAGGUGCGUCCACAGGAGGGUGUGCGGGGUGCACGUGCGCCCCCCCUUGGCGGCCAAAAGUGGGUCAUUUCUUAUUAAGGAAUCUUCAAAUACCAUGCUAUUUCCAUAUGAUACCUAUACUGUGCACCCCAUCGGCCAAUCCUGGUUAUGCGCCUGAUAAUUUGACAACUAUAAAUAAUCUUAGAUUUAUCGUCAAACUGAUUGACACAAUAGUGUUAUUUAUAAUAAAAAAAUUUACACAUUAUUCCAGAGUGACACUUACCAUCAAGGGGAAACUAGUCAUUUGGCCUGUGCUGGAACCCUAUGGAAAGGGACAUGUUCAAAC